rnacentral:rRNA from 1 species
GACCAACCCUUAAAGACUGCUGCAUCUUUAGGAUAUUCUAGUCCAACAUCGAGGUCACAAACUCUCUUUUCGAUAGGAACUCUCAAAGAGAAUUAUGCUGUUAUCCCUAUGGUAACUAAUUCCAUUAAUCAAAAUUUUUGGAUCAAAACUUGUGAGUUUUAUUAAUUAAUAAAGAAGCUUUAUUUGUUCCAUAGUCGCCCCAACCAAAAUCUAAAAUAGAUUAAUAUCUAAAACUAUAUAUUGUUUUCAAUUUAUUUUUUUAAAGCUCAAUAGGGUCUUCUUGUCUUUCAAUUAAAUCUAGGUUUCUUCACCUAGAAAUCAAAUUCUAAAAAAUUACAUGGAGACAGCUUUGUUCACGUCAAACCAUUCAUACUAGCCCUCAAUUAUAGGGCAAAUGAUUAUGCUACCUUUGCACGGUCAGAGUACCGCGGCCGUUAAAAUACAUUCACUGGGCAGGUCCGACUC